CCCGCCCCGCCGGGAGCUGCGCGCGCGGGAGGGCGGAGCUGCUGCCCCCUCCCCUCCGCCCGCCCGUCCCUCCGUCCCGGGGCGCCGGCGUGUCUGGGCAGAGCCGCGGGCAGCGCAGCGAUGGGCAGCAAAGGACACUACAGAUACCACUGGCAGAGCCACAAUGUCAAGCACAGUGGAGUGGAUGACAUGGUCCUGCUUUCCAAAAUCACUGAGGAUGCCAUAGUGGAGAACCUAAAGAAACGAUACAUGGAUGAUUAUAUUUUUACAUACAUUGGCUCUGUACUAAUCUCUGUGAAUCCUUUCAAGCAAAUGCCAUAUUUUGGGGAAAAGGAAAUUGAAAUGUACCAAGGAGCAGCACAGUAUGAAAACCCACCACAUAUUUAUGCUCUUGCGGACAGCAUGUACAGAAACAUGAUUAUUGACAGAGAAAAUCAGUGUGUCAUUAUUAGUGGGGAAAGUGGUGCUGGAAAGACUGUAGCUGCCAAAUAUAUCAUGAGUUAUAUCUCCAAAAUUUCAGGAGGUGGUCCUAAAGUACAGCAUGUUAAAGAUAUUAUUCUACAAUCCAACCCUUUACUGGAGGCCUUUGGGAACGCAAAAACUGUACGGAACAACAACUCCAGCAGAUUUGGGAAAUACUUUGAAAUACAGUUUAGCCCAGGUGGAGAACCAGAUGGAGGGAAAAUCUCCAACUUCCUACUGGAAAAAUCUCGAGUUGUAAUGAGGAAUCCUGGAGAGAGAAGUUUUCACAUUUUUUACCAGCUAAUUGAAGGGGCCUCCUCAGAACAAAAAAGCAGCCUUGGCAUUACCAGUAUGGACUACUAUUACUAUCUGAGUCUCUCUGGCUCCUACAAAGUGGAUGACAUCAAUGACAAAUCAGAUUUCCAAGAAACACUGCACGCAAUGAGUGUGAUUGGGAUCUUUGCAGAGGAGCAGGCAUUGGUACUGCAGAUAGUGGCAGGAAUUUUGCAUUUGGGAAACAUCAGCUUCAAAGAAGUUGGCAACUAUGCAGGAGUGGAGAGCGAGGAGUUUUUAGCUUUCCCUGCUUUUCUCCUGGGAAUUAACCAGGACCGCCUGAAGGAAAAACUGACCAGCAGACAGAUGGACAGCAAGUGGGGAGGCAAAUCUGAGUCCAUUAAUGUCACACUGAAUGUGGAACAAGCCUGCUACACCAGGGAUGCCCUGGCCAAGGCCCUUCAUUCCCGUGUGUUUGAUUACUUGGUGGAUUCUAUUAAUAAGGCUAUGGAGAAGGACCAUGAAGAAUAUAACAUCGGUGUCCUUGAUAUUUAUGGCUUUGAAAUAUUUCAGAAAAAUGGUUUUGAACAGUUCUGCAUCAACUUUGUAAAUGAAAAACUGCAGCAGAUUUUUAUUGAACUGACACUGAAAGCAGAGCAGGAGGAAUAUGUACAAGAAGGAAUUAGAUGGACACCAAUAGAAUAUUUCAACAACAAAAUAGUGUGUGACCUUAUAGAGAACAAAGUGAACCCCCCAGGGAUUAUGAGCAUUUUGGAUGAUGUGUGUGCCACCAUGCACGCCGUGGGAGAAGGGGCUGACCAGACACUGCUGCAGAAACUGCAGAUGCAGAUUGGCACUCAUGAACAUUUCAACAGCUGGAACCAGGGCUUCAUCAUCCAUCAUUAUGCUGGAAAGGUAUCUUAUGAUAUGGAUGGAUUCUGCGAGAGAAAUCGGGAUGUUCUUUUCACGGACUUGAUUGAACUCAUGCAGAGCAGUGAUUUGCCUUUUAUAAAGGCUCUGUUUCCUGAAAACCUUCAAGUGGACAAGAAGGGCCGUCCUACCACUGCAGGCAGCAAAAUCAAAAAACAAGCCAACGACCUUGUUGGCACCCUGAUGAAGUGCACCCCCCACUACAUCCGCUGCAUCAAACCCAAUGAGACCAAGAAGUCUCGGGACUGGGAGGAGAGCAGGGUAAAACAUCAAGUGGAAUACUUGGGUCUGAAAGAAAAUAUUCGAGUCAGAAGAGCUGGCUACGCCUACAGACGGGUUUUCAAGAAGUUUCUGCAGAGGUAUGCCAUUCUCACCAAAGCAACCUGGCCCUCGUGGAAAGGAGAAGAGAAACAAGGAGUCCUCCACCUGCUUCAGUCAGUCAACAUGGAUCCUGACCAGUACCAGCUCGGCAAGUCCAAAGUCUUCAUCAAAGCUCCAGAGUCUCUGUUCCUGUUGGAAGAGAUGAGAGAGAGGAAGUAUGAUGGGUAUGCCAGGGCCAUCCAGAAGGCCUGGAGGAAGUAUGCAGCCAGGAAAAAAUACGUGCAGAUGAGAGAAGAAGCGUCAGAUCUGUUGCUGAGCAAGAAGGAGAGAAGGCGGAACAGCAUUAACAGGAAUUUUGUGGGAGAUUACAUCGGCAUGGAGGAGCACCCUGAGCUGCGCCAGUUCGUGGGCAAGAGGGAGAAGAUCGAUUUUGCAGACACUGUAACUAAAUAUGACAGGAGGUUUAAGAGCGUGAAGCGAGAUCUCGUCCUCACUCCCAAGUGCAUUUACCUGAUCGGGCGGGAGAAGAUAAAGCAGGGCCCAGAGAAGGGCCAGGUGAAGGAGGUCUUGAAGAGAAGGAUGGAAGUGGAGAGAAUUCUUUCUGUUUCUUUAAGCACCAUGCAGGAUGACAUUUUCAUUCUACAUGAACAGGAAUAUGACAGUUUGCUUGAAUCAGUCUUCAAAACAGAGUUUUUAAGCCUCUUGUCGAAACGAUAUGAAGAGAAAACACAACAAAAACUACCUCUGAAAUUUAGCAAUACACUUGAAGUGAAGCUGAAGAAGGAGAGCUGGGGGCCCUGGAGCAGUGCUGGUUCCCGACAGGUGCAGUUUAUACAGGGCCAAGGAGAUGUGGCCAUUCUCAAACCAAGUAAUAAAGUGCUGCAGAUCAGCAUUGGACCAGGGCUACCAAAGAAUUCCCGUCCUACAAGACGGAGCCUUAGCCAAGGCAGAGGACAUUCCAGUAGGUCUCAAAAUCAGACUUAUCCUAUGAGAGCUGCACCACCUCCUCCAGGUCAGCAGCAGAAUGGAGUAAUAAAUCCCCCCCAGGGUGCAGCCCAUCCCCAGGUGCCAGGAAAUCAGUGGGCCAGCCAGAGGAACCUGUACACAAACAUGACACGGCCGGCUCUACCACGGCAAACGUCAGGAGGAUCAGGCAAGAUUUCACAGCAACCACAAAGCUUGGAUUUCUUGAAAGUACCUGACCAAGGAGCAGCUGGCCUUUAUUAGCUGAUGAGCUGGCAAAAGGCAUUUCUUCCCUCUUUCCCUUUCCUAAUCUUUGGAGUGGUCACAGCUGUGACAGUUUGUGCAGCAUUUUCCCUGCUGCUUCAGAGUUGGCUAUAACAGAACAAGUCCAUAGAUGGCCCUGGAAGCUGAGGGAACUUAAAAGAGAUGCAAGUGUCUGUUACAGCUUAGUCACAAGAAUGGGUCCGCAGGCAGACGUCGAGCCGCCCGCCGCCCGCCGGGGGCCGGCCCAAGCCGCAGCCCAAGCCCAAGCCGCAGGUGCCGCAGUGCCGCGCGCUCUACGCCUACGACGCGCAGGACACCGACGAGCUCAGCUUCAACGCCAACGACGUCAUCGACAUCCUCAAGGAAGAUCCUUCUGGCUGGUGGACAGGAAGACUACGAGGGAAACAAGGACUGUUUCCCAACAAUUAUGUCACCAAGAUUUAAAAGACUGUCAGAGAAAACUGGCGUGAAGGUACCAGUGGUUGAAGAUGUUUCCCCUGCCUUCAGGACACUGUUCUUCCAAGGUCUGCCUUCUCAGCAGUAUUUUCACCAGUAAAUUGUGUAUGAGCAGGAAGAGUUUCCCACAGUACAGACUUUGAUUUUUGUCUCAGCACCAUACAGCAAUGAACUGACCAAUUAUUUAUUAUAUUUAAAACCUGGUUUAAACACCUAAAAGAAUGCUCAGACCUACCAUCUUCCUCAAACAGGUGCUUUACAGUCUGGAACCAGGGACUUCUAAAGGGGUGUAUUUAUUAAGUGCCUUCAGCUCAAUAUCAGUAACCUUUUUAAUUAUCUGCUGAAGAUAAUGUUGAAUGCACAUUUCCUCUAAUGCAGAUCAUUCUGGGGAACAUGUUAAUAAGUAUGCUGCUACAUGUCAAAAAGAUUUAGGCUCAUUUGGGGUAUUACCAUCUGAAAAACUACUGUGAUGGUCUAUUUAAUUCUGUACAGAGAUGUAAUGGAACUGGUUUGUGUUUGCAGGUGUGUUAGGGACUCCAACAGGCACUGUAAGACUUUAAAACAGAAAACCACAUAGUACUGUAUGAUAAACAAUGUUGCCUUCUUCAAGAUUUAUAUUAUAAUAUGGCUGGCCCAUGUUGGAUUUAUGUUUAAUACUCUACCUGUUAUAGGAAGUGUCUUUAUGCAGAGCUGUACAUUUACAGAAAUAGUUAUAUACUGUAUAUAAAAACUGGUUAUGAUAGAAACAUGUAUAAAUGUAUAAUGCAGUAGUCCACUGUUCUUAUGAGGUAGUACUGCUAGAAUUUUUAUGCCAGGUACUUACAGAUAUGCACUACUCCUCCUUUUAAAUAGCAAAAGCACAGGUCUUACUGCCCAAGUCUGAUUGCCUCCCCCAGAGUGGCUGUUGCUUGCCCUGCAGUUCUGAGAAUUCCUGCUUUGCCUUUUGAUCCUCCAUAAAAUAAAACACAGGAUGAUCAA